GGAAGAGAAGAAUGAGUGUGCUAAGGCACAUCUUGUCGCGCCAACAGUUUGAGUCCAACUUCUUUUGCCUUUCGGUUAUUGGUUCAAAUAUUACAACUUGAGUCGCUCUGUGGGCGCAAAGUGGAUGAGAAUUUCUUCAUCGUGCUGAGGGAAUUCCUUUGGCUGCUGGAUGAUUCUGCGGGGCAUUUUCUUGGGAAUGGAGUGAGAGUGUUGAAAGGCUUUCUUUUGGCCGUUAUCAGCGGAAAAAGGUGAGUGAAUUGUAAACAGUGAUUUCCUGUCGAAUAUGGCUAAUUAUUCAAUUGAACUGUGUAGGUUGUUUUCUUUUUUUUUUUCGACUGAAAAACAAUAUUCUUCGUUUCUGUGAAAGAAAAUGAUUAAAAUCCCAGGAAUUUUCACGUG